CCUACGGGGGGCAGCAGUGGGGAAUAUUGGACAAUGGGGGCAACCCUGAUCCAGCCAUGCCGCGUGUGUGAAGAAGGCCUUCGGGUUGUAAAGCACUUUCAGUGAGGAAGAAGGCCUGCGGGUUAAUAGCCGGCAGGAAGGACAUCACUCACAGAAGAAGCACCGGCUAACUCCGUGCCAGCAGCCGCGGUAAUACGGAGGGUGCGAGCGUUAAUCGGAAUUACUGGGCGUAAAGCGCGCGUAGGUGGCUUGAUAAGCCGGUUGUGAAAGCCCCGGGCUCAACCUGGGAACGGCAUCCGGAACUGUCAGGCUAGAGUGCAGGAGAGGAAGGUAGAAUUCCCGGUGUAGCGGUGAAAUGCGUAGAGAUCGGGAGGAAUACCAGUGGCGAAGGCGGCCUUCUGGACUGACACUGACACUGAGGUGCGAAAGCGUGGGUAGCAAACAGGAUUAGAUACCCCGGGUAGUC
rnacentral:rRNA from 1 species